UUUAUUUAAAAGAAAAUAUAAACUAGACCAAAAAGUAGAAAAGAACAUUACCUUGGCAUGAUGAAUAAAAAUAUUAACAGAGGACUUUAUAAGCAGAAAUCUUGAUACAAAACUUACAUUUCGGGUAGGGGGGAAAAUUUAAGAUUGAAAAGGAAAUGAAUCACCCAACCAAAUUAUUAUAUAUAUAUGCCUCAAAAAACCCAGCAUCACAAACAAUUAAUGGAUCGCUUAUAUAUAUAGUUAAGUAUAUAUUGUCAUGUCCAUUUGAGUUGCCUUGCUGGUGGAUUUUGUUGAUAGGACCGAAGCCUUGGAUACUGGCAGUGGCCGUCUCAAGAAAUGCGGAUGCCAUUUGAGUUGGUUCUCCUUGAACUGCCGGAUGAUCGAGUUGAUAUGUUUUUCCCUUCCAUUUUCCGGUCCUUUUCCUUUCUCUCCCCUUCUUGUGGUUUUAUGUUUCUUCAAAUCUUGAGGAAUUUAUUUGUAAGGAAUUUAACUUGGAAUAAUAUGACAUACACAAAAAGUAGAACUCAUAUAUCUUAAUCUUAU
rnacentral:lncRNA from 1 species